CGGCGUUGAACCCGCAGGCGUGUUGGCAGUUCGAAGGAGAGAUCCUAGUGCUACAUCAUCCGACCACGAUUUCCUCACGCUACCAGGCGAUGGUGCACUGUGGCAGCAUCCGGCAGACGGCGUCGAUCCUGUCGAUGUCGCGCGACUGUCUCCGGACCGGCGACAAGGCGCUCGUCCGUUUCCGCUUCAUCAAGCACCCGGAGUACCUCAAGCGCGGGCAGAGGAUGGUGUUCCGCGAGGGCCGCACGAAGGCAGUUG
rnacentral:lncRNA from 1 species